rnacentral:rRNA from 1 species
CCCUUAGAUGUUCUGGGCUGCACGCGCGCUACACUGAUGCGUUCAACGAGUUUAUGACCUUGCCCGAUAGGGUUGGGUAAUCUUUUUAAAUCGCAUCGUGAUGGGGAUAGAUUAUUGCAAUUAUUAAUCUUCAACGAGGAAUUCCUAGUAAGCGCGAGUCAUCAGCUCGUGCUGAUUACGUCCCUGCCCUUUGUACACACCGCCCGUCGCACCUACCGAUUGAAUGGUCCGGUGAAAUCUCGGGACGGCGGCUUGGUCGCUUGCGUCCGACUGCUGAAACUUGAUUAAACCAUAUCAUUUAGAGGAAGGUGAAGUCGUANCA